GUAGGUGGCAAGCGUUGUCCGGAAUUAUUGGGCGUAAGCGCGCGCAGGCGGUUCUUUAAGUCUGAUGUGAAAGCCCACGGCUCAACCGUGGAGGGUCAUUGGAAACUGGAGAACUUGAGUACAGAAGAGGAAAGCGGAAUUCCACGUGUAGCGGUGAAAUGCGUAGAGAUGUGGAGGAACACCAGUGGCGAAGGCGGCUUUCUGGUCUGUAACUGACGCUGAGGCGCGAAAGCGUGGGGAGCAAACAGGGAUUAGAUACCCUGGUAGUCCACGCCGUAAACGAUGAGUGCUAAGUGUUAGGGGGGUUUCCGCCCCCUUAGUGCUGCAGCUAACGCAUUAAGCACUCCGCCUGGGGAGUACGGCCGCAGGCUG
rnacentral:rRNA from 1 species